ensembl:lncRNA
CUUGUUGAUGCUCCAUUCAUGAGGGUAGCGCCAUCUGUUGGGAAAACAUCGUACAACAGGACACAUAGUUAUCGUGAUUUGAUCAAACUUAGAAAGAUGAAUCAUAUGUAUAGAAGUAAUUAUACAAAUGAAAUAUUUAUAAAAGUUUUUCUUUUCCUGAUGUGUGUACAUUAUUUUGGCUGACUCUGAACUUAAUGAGAACAAAACUGUCAUUUAAUUGUUGCUCUGAAAGCUUCUUUAGUGAAAACCAGCUGGUGUUCUGCUUUGAAACAAACUGCUGUUGAGGUCUGUGUUUUUAGGUUUAACCCCACAGUUUCUGAAUGAACUGAUAGUUUGUUUUUUCCUGAUCAAUGUGGAAGUUAUAAUUGAUGGUAACAUUUACUGAUCAUAUAAUCAGCAUGACAAUAUAACAGUAUAACAUUCUGACCACCUGACUAACACUGUGUUGGUCCCUUUAUGAUGCUAAAACUCCUCUGACCCAGUGGUUCAUCAGAACCUCUGGGGAUGUCCUGUGGAUUCUGUGGAUCCUGUGGGUUGCAGGGUGGAUCCUACCUAGACCAGGCUGAUCCUGGACCAUCCCACAGAUGCUCCAUCAGAUCUGGAUGUUGGGAGUGUGGAACCCAGAUGUUUAGAGGGAGAUGAUGCCACAUCUGGUCCAGCUGAUGGAAGGUCUUGAAGUUCUCUGACUGGCCUCGACUGAAGAUGGUCGUCUCACUGGAUUUAAGGUUCAGAUGCUCAGUAACAAACUCCACCAAUGAGCCAACAGGGAAGCUUUAGGUUUAUUAAAUGUUGCUAUGAAGGUAUCACUGUUUUUCUUUGUGAAUGCAAUGUGCUCCAGCUGAAAGUUGAAUUAGAACUUAGAAGUAAAUCCUUCCAUCUGAAAGGAUUUAGUUGCAUUAAUAACCUCUUAACAUUCUAAUUUUUAUUCCAGUCUUAGUUGGAAAUAGAAUCUCUGUAUUGAUUCAGGUAAAAACUGAACUUCACAGCAUGUUGGAGCAAAACAACCAGAUGAAAACUGUGAUGGUGUUGGAUUGUCAGACCGUAAUGUUGCAGCUCAAAGCAGCUUUUCUAGCUCAGUUCAUUCUGACAUUCAGCUAUGAAUCAACACAGCAGAUGGUGAUCCAUGCUGUGGAAGUCUCACAUCUCCUGAUUUAAUUUGAGCUGCUUUGCACUUUUUACACUGUUUAUUCACCAACACUUUAUUUAAUAAAAGUCCCAUCUAGUUUUUAUGAGGAAUGUGAUGUUUUAAUUUCUCUGUGAAUAACUGCAGUCUAAUGCAACAGCUGGAGUUGUAACAUCUGUCCUGAUAUUGAUCAUGAAGUAUUGAUCAGAAUACUUAUGGUCAGCAGUCAUCCCUGAAGUUUUACAUUAAAAUCUUUACUUGUGUUGUGAACUUUGGUAAGAAGCAGAAACGUUAGCGUUGCCAUGGAUACAUGAGUGUUAAAUUCUGUCCAUGUUUCCAUUUUGGGAAAUUCAGUCCAGUUCCAGAAUGUGGAGGAAUUUAGUCUCACAAUCACAGACAACAAAUAUUAUCUGAAAGUCGGGUUAUUGUUGUUUAUCAGCACAAUACAAAAAGAUUCAUGUUAGACAUAUUCCAAUUAAGACUCUUGAAUAGGGCUGCACAGUGGCGUAGUGGUUAGCACUUUCGCCUUGCAGCGAGAAGAUCCCUAGUUCGCGUCCCGGCUUUCCCGGGAUCUUUCUGCAUGGAGUUUGCAUGUUCUCUCUGUGCAUGCGUGGGUUUUCUCCGGGUACUCCGGCUUUCUCCCACAGUCCAAAAAUAUGCUGAGGUUAAUUGAUCAUUCUAAAUUGCCCGUAGGUGUGAAUGUGAGAGUGAUUGUUUGUCUCUGUAUGUGGCCCUGCGACAGACUGGUGACCUGUCUAGGGUGUCCCCUGCCUUCACCUGAGUCAGCUGGGAUAGACUGCCUCUAAGUUGGUUUGUUUUCUAAAAUAACAUGACAUGUUCAGGCGUUCUUUGUGUGAAAACUCAGAGAUUUCAGGUAUCAGAAGGUGGUUUUCAACUUUGUUAACUUUCUGCUUCAACUUUAAACUAAAUUUCCUUCACUAACCCAGCCCUCUGGACUUCCAGUAAGCUGUGUUCCUAUUGGCUGUCCGGGUGGCUGCUUGGUGUUAUCAGGAACACCUGAGCAGCUCAGUGUCUUCCUGCUUUAUUUAGCUGCAGACAAACAUUUCCUCUGCUUCUGUUCACCACUGAACCGGGUUUGGCUCCAUUGCUUUAGUUUGUUCUUUAGGCAUUGGCUUGCAGCUUCCAGCAGUAAAAUCGUCUUUAAUGUGUUUCUUGGUGUGUUUUAGGGCUUUGUACUGGAUAGUUGUCUUGGUAAAUGUGGUUCUUUAGCCACAGUUAGCACAUGGUGCUAGUGUUUGCAGUGAUUAGUGGAUUUGGUGCAGCUGAGUUGUGUCUUUAUCUUGGCUGUAGUGAGUCUUUAGAGGUUUUUGGUCAGAUACAUUCUGUAUUCUUGUUUGUGAACCAGCGUUGGUUGUCCAGAAGGUAAGAGUUCCUGUCCUGAUUCUCUGUUCUCAGAGGUUCUCUGGUAGGCUGCAGGAGACUUUAGUGUUUGGGUUGUGCUAGUUUGGUUUUUGUAUGGUUUCAUUUGGACGACUAUCUUGAGGCCCCUCCAUGUGGUUUAGUGAGGUUUUCUGGAACAGUUCUACAAAGCAACCUGCAGCAGAAGAGACUUUGAGAGUUUUUAGGAAGUUCUGGAGACCAGACUUUAGAGCAGCAGAAACAUUUGUCAGCAGUUUGAGCAGGAGAAGGUGAGCUUCAGAGUAGAAAUGAGACGGAAACCUUCUUGACCCGUGUGGUGAGGUCCUGUACCAAGAGUUUGAGCAGGUUGUGAAGAGUCUGUAGUUCUGUGGUCUGAAAGCACAAGAAGAGUCGACUCAUUAAAGGAGAAAACAGGAGAUAUUGUUGGUUCUUCUGUCGCUCUGCAGUUUCCUUAGACUGAAUAUCAAGUUUAUAUUUUAAAUGAUUUCCCAUAUGAGCCCAAGAAGACUUCAAUAAACUCCCUCCAUCCCCUGGACACAACAUAUUUUAUUACCAUGUUAAAUCUUUUUUGAAAUGUUUUUGCAUUUUAAUCAUAGUUUUAGUAUAGUUUUUUUUUUCUCUUUGC